GAUGAACGCUAGCUACAGGCUUAACACAUGCAAGUCGAGGGGCAGCGCAGUGUAGCAAUACAUGGGCGGCGACCGGCGCACGGGUGCGUAACGCGUAUCCAACCUUCCCGUUACUCAGGGAUAGCCUUCCGAAAGGGAGAUUAAUACCUGAUGGUGUUCAAAUUCCGCAUGUUAUUUGAACUAAAGAUUUAUCGGUAACGGAUGGGGAUGCGUGACAUUAGAUAGUAGGCGGGGUAACGGCCCACCUAGCCGACGAUGCCUAGGGGUUCUGAGAGGAAGGUCCCCCCACACUGGAACUGAGACACGGUCCAGACUCCUACGGGAGGCAGCAGUGAGGAAUAUUGGUCAAUGGUCUGACGACUGAACCAGCCAUGCCGCGUGAAGGUCACGGCCCUAUGGGUCUUAAACUUCUUUUGCGAGGGAGCAAUAAGGUCUACGUGUAGUCCGAUGAGAGUACCUCGCGAAUAAGCAUCGGCUAACUCCGUG
rnacentral:rRNA from 1 species